GAGAAGACAAACUAAGAGUUAGAACAAUCUCGCCUUGUGUGCCCAGCCCGUUCCUCCUCGACGUCCGACGCCUCCACCUCCGCGCCACUAUGCCUUCAUCUUCGGGUUACGGUACCAUUGCUAAGAUUCCUUUCAACUGUUUUGUGUGUGGAUCCGCUCUAUCUAACGGGGCUUUUCAGUGCUUCCACGUCACACGUUUUUCUUCGAAUCCAGUGUGUCAACAUCUAUUCUGUUCCGAAUGCUCACGAAGUCACGCUGAAAGAUUUAGACAUAAUACUAGUCGACUAGUGUCACUUGAUCAUGUGACUGCAGAUGCUACAUUUGCUUGCCCUUUUGAUGGAUGCGGUGAAGAGAUGUCUGCAUCCCAUUACGACGCACAUGUGGAGGCGUGUCUUUUUAAAACACUAUCAUGCCCACGUUGUAAUAAUCUGUUUACUUCUAAUGCACUGAUCCCACAUCUCGUUGGUGAACAUUGGUUCGUACAUCAUCAGCUAACUUACGGUAAUCCUAUUGGUUCGGAAAUCUCCAAGAAUGGUGGGUGUAUUUUAAGUGGCGGAGAUGAAGCAUUUAUUUUCUUCUUUGAACACGGAGAGCUUUACUAUUUUUGGGUCGGUUCUUCACCUGCUCCUGCCGAUUUCCAACUCAUGGUGAAUAUAGCUACUCAAGCUCAGCAAAAUUGUGGUGUCUUCUCAAAGCCUGCACUAGCCAGAUCUCGGGGUGCUGUUCGUCUUUUGAACCUCGAUCUGGAUCAUGUCAUCAAUCAAAAUAAUAUUUUGAGGAUUACUAUAAUGAUUAGUUGAAUUGAUGGCUAUGUUGUUUUAUGUUGUCUUGUGUUUGGACGUCGUAUUAGUAUUAUGUAAUGAUUAGUUGAAUUGAUGUCUAUGUUGUUUUAUGUUGUGUUGUGUUGUUUGGACCUCUAUUUGGUAUUAGUUAUUUGGUUUGUAUUGUGUAACUGUUAUUAAGGUUGUAUUAAAAUUAUGUGGUGGGUUGGUCUCCUGUUA